AUUGCCACAACCACCCAACCUUCAGCAACAACAUCCUGAUCAGUCAGCAGCCAUCAACAUCAAGUUUCCAGAAAAAAGAGACAAGAAGCAGAAGCUACAUUAUGGGCUAAGGCAUGGCGCAAUGAGAAAACAAUCUGUGAGAGCAACUUUCUGAGCCACCUGGAGCUGGGAGCGAAGUGACACAAACACCUCUGCUGCCACCAUCACUAUGACUGUGCUAAGUCAGACUUGAGGCCAGUGCAGCAUUGGGUCUGGCCCAAGGCAUGUUGUAACCAAUCCCUGGCUAUGGCCUAUAUUCAUUCAAGGCCCUGGGCUCCAAAAUUUGCAGGGCAACACUGAGUUCAAUGCCUCACAAUUGCUGCAGUCUCCCACUCCCACGUGCACAGAAAUGCUCUCUGCACCACACCGCUGCUGCAGUAAGAUGGAGAAAGGGUGGUGUCCACAGUUUGACUGUUUUCCCUAUAUCUUCAGUGCCUCUUUCAGAGAUAUAAAGUUAAAAGCAGAUACUAAAGUUAUGAAGGUCAUGAUGGCAGCAACCACAAUGGAUAAAACUUGCAAAGAACCAUGGUGGUCCAGGUCACAUAGGAAAAGUGAGACGGAAUGAUCUGAUAAACUAGACUAGGUGGCUGGCAUGAUCCAUGGAGAGGAAGAAAGAGCAGCGUGGUCCAGUGGCCCACCUGAGAAAGCUACACAGGGAAGCGGAGCCCCCACCCCACAGCCAAGAGCUGCGUUACUGCAAAAAUCAAGAUGUAUCUUCAAAUGGGAUUUGCCUGCAUAUAUUUAUUGAUCAAACUGAGAGCUUCUAUUCAGUUGCUCCUACAGCAGGGAGAAGUGAGUUACAGAGACUACCUGACUUUGACUAUGUGGACUUCAGAAGUUAAUCUCUGCUGGCAUCUUUUCCAAAAAAAGAUUACCACCAUCAAUUCCAAUGUGAUAUAUAUUUGUAUAAAGAAGAUAGUUCCAACUGCAAGGAAGAACACCAAAACACUGAGUAUGGAGAAGAGUGGGAGAAUCAUUGUCCCCUGUUCAGAGCAUGAAAGACUGCCCACGGUCUGACAGGAGACCGUGUUGUUCUUCAAACGUAAUUAAAGAUUCUUUGAAUAUGUUUUCUCCUGCUCAAGUAAUAACUUGUGAUUUUAGUGCUGAAUUGCCUUAAGGAAUAUAUUGUUUCCAAACUUUCCAAAUUCAUGAAUGUUAAUUAAACUAACACUCUAAGGCCAUUUUAAAUCAAGCCUCUCUUGAAAUAAGAUUAAAGUCUUAGAUAUUUCAGUAGUUAUAUAAAUCAGGGUAUAUUUAAAAUUUUAUUUGAUCAUCUGAAAUUUAAUAAAAAUAAAUGUUUUGUGAGAUAGUUGAUGAAUGGGGAGAAAUCUGACCAUUCAAGUCAGCUACAAAAUAUCUUCAUAUUCUUUCAGAUGAAAAAAGAAGUCCCAGAAGCCUAAUUAUUGACAUGAUAUCAAUUCAUUAAGGUAUAUAUUGACAGGUCUUCUCUAGAGAAAAAGACUUAGCAGGAUUGAUGAAGCAUGUUGACACUGAAGAGAGAGAUUUGGAAAUAAAUAAAUCCACUGUGCUUUAUACAAAAGCUCUUUGCUCAUCUAUUUUUAGCAGAAAUCUUGGGAAGGUAUUGUGUGUCUGUGUGCGUGCAUGUACAUGCAUGUGUGCAUGCAAUUAUCAAAAGACUAUUCUUGGAAUCUUUUGUCCAAGAUAGACUGACUAAAUAAUCAUUCAUUCUACCACUCUGAACUAUUUACAUGACUGUUUUUCGUAAACCCAAAGUAAAAUAAUACAGUGAUAUGACAUUCCAUGGGAGGCAAAGUAGGCCAUUAACUGCUGCUCUGGCAAUUUCUGUUUAACAAGCUCCAUUCGCAUUAUGUUUCUUAUUUCUCUCUAAUGAAUAAAACAAACCACAACAUUUCUUUCUACUUGUACUAAUUUCAACAGAGUGUACAAAGUCCAUACACAGUUCCAUGAAUACGUGAAAUUAGCAAAAUUUGGGGCUUACUUAGUAUUAGCCAGAAGGGGAA
rnacentral:lncRNA from 10 species